rnacentral:rRNA from 1 species
UACGGGGGGGGCGAGCGUUGUUCGGAAUCACUGGGCGUAAAGGGCGCGUAGGCGGCCCGCACAAGUCUGCGGUGAAAACCCCCGGCUUAACCGGGGGCCGGCCGUGGAAACUGUCGGGCUGGAGGCUGGGAGAGGGCAGCGGAAUUCCCGGUGUAGCGGUGAAAUGCGUAGAGAUCGGGAGGAACACCGGCGGCGAAGGCGGUUCUCUGGGCAUGAUCUGACGCUGAGGAGCGAAAGUGUGGGGAGCGAACAGG